GAGUUGCAAUUUACCUCAUAUAUCCGAAUGUUCGGUUUCCGUAUCCGAACGGUCAAUUUUGGUAACAAAACAGCAAAAAAAUGUACAAAUUUGCCUCGUAUAUCCGAACAACAAGGCUGUCGUAGGCAAGAUGUCUGAUGUUUACCGCUCCUCAACAGUGCUCUCUGCAUUGACCUUUGAUCAAUCCUAUAUCAAAACCCAAGGUCUGUUGUCGGCGAGGUAUCAAAACACGAUGUCUACCGCUUGUCAAAACAUUGGGCUGGCUGCUAGUUAAUUCAUUGUUUAUUGAAUAUUUAUCACAGGGCGUGUAGGUUAAUUAGAGAAGAAACAAUUAAAGUAUACAGUGGCAGAAC